UACGUAGGGGGCAAGCGUUGUCCGGAUUUACUGGGUGUAAAGGGAGCGUAGGCGGCGAUGCAAGUCAGAAGUGAAAGCCCGGGGCUCAACUCCGGGACUGCUUUUGAAACUGUGUUGCUAGAUUGCAGGAGAGGUAAGUGGAAUUCCUAGUGUAGCGGUGAAAUGCGUAGAUAUUAGGAGGAACACCAGUGGCGAAGGCGGCUUACUGGACUGUAAAUGACGCUGAGGCGCGAAAGCGUGGGGAGCAAACAGG
rnacentral:rRNA from 1 species